GUUGCCAGCAUUUAAGGUGGGGACGUCAGAUGAGACUGCCGGUGGACAAACCGGAGGAAGGUGGGGACGACGUCAAGUCAUCAUGGCCCUUAUGUCCUGGGCUACACACGUGCUACAAUGGCCGGUACAGAGUGAAGCGAAACCGCGAGGUGAAGCAAAACGCAGAAAGCCGGUCUCAGUACGGAUUGGAGUCUGAAACUCGACUUCAUGAAGUUGGAAUCGCUAGUAAUCGCGCAUCAGCAUGGCGCGGUGAAUACGUUCCCGGGCCUU
rnacentral:rRNA from 1 species